GAUGAACGCUGGCGGCGUGCCUAAUACAUGCAAGUCGAACGAACAGACGAGGAGCUUACUCCCCUGACGUUUGCGGCGGACGUGGGAGUAACACGUGGAUUACCUCUCUAUAAGCCUGCGAUAACUUCGGGAAACCGGAGCAAAUACCAGAUAAUAUAUUGAACCACAUGAUUCAAUCGUGAAAUACGGUUUUGCUAUCACCUAUAGAUCGAUCUGCGCCUCUUUAGCUUGUUGUGAAGGUAACGGCUUAUCACGACGACGAUGCGUAGCCGACCUGAGAGGGUGAGCGGCAACCCUGGAAGUGAGCAACGGUCCAGACGCCUACGGGAGGCAACAGUAGGGAAUCUUACGCAAGGGGCGAAGGCCGAACGUAGCAAAGCCGCGGGAGUGAUGAAGGUCUUCGGACCGUAGAAGUCAGUUAUUAGGGAAGAACAAAAGUGCAAUCAACUGUGCACGUCGUGACGGUACCUAAUCAGAAAGCCACGGCUAACUACGUG
rnacentral:rRNA from 1 species